GGAAGCGAACGUUCCCCGGUGGGACGGCCGGUCUUCAAAACUGGCAGGGGCGGCCAAGCCGUCCCUGGUAGGUUCGACUCCUGCUCGCUUCCGCCA
rnacentral:tRNA from 1 species